UGAGCUUAGACUGUGAGGACAUGACCAAAGGAAACAAACGUUUGACCAGACAUCUGACAACAUCUGUUUACUUUGCUUGUGUGAAUGCAGCCUGCCUGGCCUGAGGUGUCUGCUUUUGGCUGAAACACAAGAUGGAGGCCCCUUGUAAACACAGGCCAUGCCAAGUACAGGCAAAGCCUACCUAGGUGACUCCCCUCUUUCCUAUUGGAACUGCUCACUGUGAUGGGUUUCUUCCUGUUCUCAGCAAAUCUAAACUUGCAGCAGACGAGGAAAGAAGUGGACACAAAUAAACCAGAGGUUUGGGUCCAAUUUUUCCCCCGUUUCUUAGCUCAGGAAACCAAAGGGUCUCCAAUACGAACACACCCCUUUCCCUGACCAGCAAAGGUGAUACUUCCAGAAACGGUGACUAAUGGACCUGUCUUGGAACAGCCUGGGAGCUAAACAUAUGGAGGGAAGAAAGCAGGGAGGGAGGGGAGGAAGGAAGAAAGAGAGGGAUGAGGAGGUUGGAAUGGAUGGGGAGGGGAAAAUGGAGCUGUUUGCACUGGGUCUUUAUGAAUGUCCAGGCUCUGGCCCAGAAUUGGCUGCUGUCUGUUGGUGGCAAAUGAUGCCUGGGUUAUUCUUAGCAAAGUGCUUAGGGAGUCUGAGCCUGAGGGGCCGUGGAAUGGAAAAACAACAACAAACAAAACAAAGCUUGUUCUGCCUGCCUUCUGGAGAGAUUCAAAGCUGGGUGAAAGAAGUAGAUCAGAUGGACCCAGAAAGAUGGCUGCAAGGUGAACGCCCCAGCCCCCCUGCUUUCUGGCCCCCAAAUCAUGAUUGUUUUAUGCGGUUCUUUUCCCCUUGGCGAGGAAAAUGGGAUGUGGUGUCAAUUACUGGGAAAAAUAUACAAAGUCCUAAUGGCUAAUCUAUUCUUCUAAGUACAAGGAGGGCUACUACACCUAAGAGACUUGAUCUAAUUGUAUAAUAAAACUCCAGUCAUUUCCAGCCAGCUCGGACAUGCCAGGUCUGUCGGAGAACACACUGGCUGCUGUGGCUGCUGCCUCCCUAGGCAGGGAGUGGUGAGCUGACCCUGGCAAUUGCUUGCUGGUAAAAUCCAACAAGGGUCUGAAGAGAGUGGGGAAUAUGGCUGCAGGGAGCACUGAGGACCGCAAAGAUGCUGUGCAGUAAAUAGUACCUUCUUGUUUUAUAUGCCCCUGUGGUGGCUGUUGUUUCCUUGGCUAGAAACAUCUAUGUCAAGGCCCUAACCUUGGGAGGCACCCCCACGGAGCUGUUUCAGGGUGUCCCCUCCUUUCUUUCUCCUUGUCCUUGUGUGUAGACCAGAUGGUCACUCGGAGAACUCAUGCUAUCAGGCAGUUUUGCCUCAUCUGUUUUAACUUCGUUCUCCUAGCAAUGCUCAGAUGCAAAUCCAAUGGUCAGUUUGUAGAUUAGACUUCAAGACAGUCACUUGUUUAAAGUUCCACGGCUAAGAAAUGAUGGCAGAGCACAAACCUGCAUUUCUUCCUCCUUGCUGUCUGUUUCUGCACACCCAACGCCGUUGCUGACUAAGGCAGAAGGUACUCCUGAGCAGCAAUGCCUGCGGUCAGGGCAUGGAGGGGACCAAAGGGGUGGAAGGGCUGAGUGCGGAUGCAUGAGAAGCCGCUGCUGGUGGCAGUAGGCAUCCUAAAAUUAGUUCCCUCCUUUCAAGUCUGUCGGAUUUGAUCUAAAGACAUGAAAGGACUUGAAAACCUCUUGCAUGUAAAUCCAAUGACAGCCUCUAACACCAUUGCAAGAGGCAAAGCCUCUGUUUAUUUAAGCAUUGGGGAUUUUUUUUUUUUAAGAAAAAAUACAACUGGGAGUAGAAGUCACUGGGUUAUAAAUGAGCUCUCACCCCACCAAAGAAAAAAAUAAUAAUUAUAAUAAAAAUAAUGGCACCGUAGUCUCUGAUAAAGCAGUGCCAGAAAAGCUCUUGGGGAUCAAGUUUUGUCAGUCCCCAGCUUUUACCAAUUUAAAUUCUUGGCAGAGUAUUAAAAAAAAAGUAUAAGGUAUUUGAAACUCCAGUCCCUCAGGUACUAAAUCUAGGGUUUCCUGGCAAAAGAUGAAUGUUGCCAGAGCGCAAGCCUCGCACCACAGGGCCAUAUCUCCAUGGCUGUUCGUAUUUAUACUUCAUAGACAAAUAUGUCAUUCUUUCAGGAUCCCUUUACAGGGCCAAUUUUUUUUUCCUCGUGUGUUACCCACCCCCAUUGGAUAAAAAUGAAGGCUGUCAAACUCAGGACAUGGGUUUGAGCUAGAAAUGGUCUUUGGUACCAAGAGCCUGGUUUCCCGAAAGCUGUUCCAACUACUAAGCCACAGGGAUGAUGAAGAGACAGCACGGGACCUCUGUGGAGAUGGUCAGCAAGUACACGGUCCACAUCACUUGGACCUUUUCAUGCCUUGUCUUUUACUGUUUUCUUGUUCCUAAGAAGACACACUGUGGAGCACAGGAGCAUGAGAGUGGUCAGUCUUCCGGAUGACAUUGCCAGAACUUAAGAACACCAAAACAACCCAGGCCAGAAAGAGGUACUUCUGGUACACUGUUGGAACACUCCUGUUUGGGUUUGGGGCCUUGCCACGUUUUUGUGGGUCUUUUAGUCACUUUCCGAUUCCCACUGCUACAAACCCUGCUCCAGCACUCGCAUCAAAUCCAUCACCGAAAUGAAGAUCUAUGGAGUGGUCUGAAGCCACCUCAUCGGCUAGCCCCUGAAACUGAAGCCUUGAGGUGGAGUUCAUUUGAUUUCUGCAGGACACUGCCAUCUCUGGCGAACAUCCUAUUUUAAGAGUCUUUGCCUUUCCCCUCUGCCUGUCACCCUGGAUGUAGACAAUGCGGAACUCGCCACAAGUCUUCAGCGCAUGCGUAGUGAUGGGGUUACGGCUCCCUCCAACAUCUCUAUGUUUGCCCUUGUGAAUUGCACCCUCUUCUUUCCUUUAUUACCUGUGCUAGUGGGCUUGUUUUUCCCUGAGACAGUUACAUAAGACUCUUGAUUCUCCAAAUUCGCAUUAGCUCACCUCCACUCCCUCUGCUUCCUCAGCCUCAGAGGGCCAACACAGGGGAAGGAAGAAACAACGGCAGGAAGCCCACAGAAAGCUCCAAAGAUUUCAGCUCCCUGGACCCACCUGAGUAUGAAGCUCAGGUUCUCCAUGCCAGGGCUUGGUUUCCACAUUCCUUCUUCAGAACGGAGGGGACAUAUCCACAUAUGAACGGAUGUGUCCUGGGAACGGAGUGCAAGCACAUCCAGGAGCCAAAGAAAGAGCUCUCGGGAAACUUUGCUGGCUCUCCUCUCUCAUCCUUAGGGAGAAAUUCAGUUCUGUGAGUUGGAGCGAUUCCUUGUGCCCAUCUCAGACCCCGCAGUUUAGAUCUUCAUUAAAAGAAGGUCCAUUGAGGGGCUUAAACACAAAACUCCCUAUAAUGGUGAAUACUCAGAAUUACUUUCCACCUGAUACUGCUUCAUUUAAUUGGACUAAAGCAAGCUCCCCUGGCUCCAGACUCCCUUGAAAUCCUGCCCAAAUUUGCCUGGCUCCUGCGUGGACCCGAGUAAAUAUGCGGCAGGUGCGCCAAGGGGCUGUGAACUGGGCUCCCAUGAACCGUAAUGUUGCUGCAUGACUGAUUCUCCCACCUUUCGGCCCUCCCUCAAAAUCCCAGGACCAUCCCUGCUUAUGCAAAGAGUAGGCUCCCCAGUGCCGUCUUAGGAAGAAGUGGUGGAGCAAUUUCAUUUAAUAUUGCUACUGCUUCCAUUAACCCGACUAUAUUGCUCUCCGUCCUCAAUUUAAGACUCCCUCUUUCUCUUGAUUAUCGCUGCAUUUCAGAGCACCUGAAUGUCCUCCCCAGACCUGUAAGUCAGCCUGGAAUAAGAGGAUGAUAGGAUGAUCAAAAGCCACAGUUCCUUGAGUUCUCUGGCGUUGGUAUAAUGCAGCCUACUGUGCCACCCCAGAGGCCUUCCAAAGCAGCCCAGCCCAGCUGCUCCCUGGAGGUAGCUCUGGCAUUUUCUGCACAUACUGUCUCCUUUAUUUCUCUUAUCUCCCACCUUCCUCCCUGGGUUUUUCUUUCCUCGAUCGUGGUGGGGGGAGGGGUAGACAGACAACAAACUUGGGACUUUGACUAUUAUUUGAGUAAACAGAACCCUGUUGCAUGACAGAAGCCCCUUUGACUUACCAUGGGGUUAUAUGAAGAUGUGCCCAUUAUAAGAUCAGCUUAUUUAUCAGGAUACAACCUGUUAUGAUUUAGACAUGAAGCGUUACCCCUCAAAAUUAUGUGUUGAAGACUUGGUUCCAAGCUGGUAGAUCCAUCACUGAGAGACGAGUGCUAUAACCUUAUGAGUGAAUUACCUACUGAUGGGCUCAUCAUUGAUUGGACUAUUGAGAGGUGAUGGAAACUGCAGAAGCUGCCACCUGAUUGGAGGAAGUGGGUCUCUGGUGGCAAGCCUUUGAAGGAUGUUACCAUUUCUCUGGCCCCCUUCUCUCUUUUUCAGUGUGCUGGCCACUCUGAGGUGUUUCUCCACAUACUUCUGGCAGACGGUUCAGCCUCAUCGCAGACUCAUACCAAAGAAGCAGCCAAGCAGGGGCUGAAUCUCUGUGACUGAAAUCUCCGUGAGUCAAAAAUCAUGACUUCCCUUUAUUAUAAGAUGCUUGCUUAGGUAUUGUAUCAGGACGACAAACAGCUACCUAACUCAUUGUACGUUGAAAGUCAAAGCUAUGUCUUCCCUUCCCUUCCCCAGUAUGGGGCUCUUGGAAGAAGAGCCCCAAGCUCCUCUCUGGAGAGCAAGCUUGGGAAACGAAAGCAUCAUUGAGACAACAGGAAGAAAAAAAUGCUGGCACACACUGGUCCUCCCUGUUAACACUGUUCACUCUACGGGCAUGCUCUUGGCAAGCCUUGAGAAAGGCCAUGGCCUUUUGCUUACCCUAUCUCUUGCCUGCUGCGGGCAACACGGUCACAAAUGAAUGGAAGUUCAAAAUCUAGAAUAAUUGGGUUCAUAUGUUAUAGCCAAAUCCCUUGGGCUUUGCUCUCUUCAGGGAGCUGCCCCACUGUAGCUUGGCCAUGUGCUCAUAGGGGAAGUCAACACUCUAAGACUCAAAUUUCAGGCCAAGCUAGAGAAUAAGGGUAAGAACAGGUAGAGGCCUUCAAUUGGGGCCAUUCUGGGCCUGUAUGGGCUGAGGAGGCACAGAGAGAAGCAGCUUAGAGUCAGUCAGACUACAGUUGGAUUCUUGGCUCCUCGGAUCUCUUUUUACCUUGUUUGAGUCCUGGUGGGUAGAAAUGACCAACUGACUUUACUCAUGAUCUUAGGAAAACUAAAGUAAAAAUAAAAUCAGAGUGACAGUCUGGAACCAAACGGUGACCUUCUCUGACAUUUCCUGGGAAUGCCUAUGAGGAAAUGUUUUUAUUUUUUGAAGCUGUGCACUGCAGAAACACCAUCAUGUCUGUAAUUUGCUUUAAAAUACUCUGGGUGAAUUGUGAAGUAGACUCGGCCACUUUCUUCCUUCCCCAGAUAAACCUCAAGCCAGCUCAACCUUCUGUGACUUUUAUUCAAAAAUGGGUCAGAGCAUUCAUUGUCAUAGUUCUGAAAACAUCUUGUCAACAACUCCAGAGUGAAAUCUCCAUGCCAGACCUCUGACAGUAACUCCAGACUGAGACAUUCAGCUGCCAAAUGGAUUCCUCAAAGCCAAAGUCUUAAAUAAAAUGCUUUUUUUCCCA